AAGUCGUAACAAGGUAACCGUAGGUGAACCUGCGGUUGGAUCAUUAGUAAUAUCUUUGACCGAUUCCCAAGAGCCACUCUUGGGUUUCCAAUCGGCAAACACACCUUUGUGAACCACUGAAAUGUAUCUUGGCGUCGGCGAUUAGUUGCAGUGGCCUCUCUUUCAGGGUGAGGGUCGCUGACUGGCGGGUUGGUGGUAAUUUUUCCUCCUUACCCCCGCCUGGUCGCAGACGUCAGCCUCGAAACUGAACACGCACACCCCAUGUUUUACAAUCUGACUUACAACAAUUUUUUUCUCCUUUUUUCUUUCACUCUCGACUGAGUGAUUGAGAAUCAAAGAGAAAAAAGAGAAACCAAAUGAGAAACAACUUUAGACAACGGAUCUCUUGGCUCUC
rnacentral:misc_RNA from 1 species